rnacentral:pre_miRNA from 1 species
CUACAUCUUCAUGUUGGUCUACAUCUUCAUGUUGGUCUACAUCUUCAUUAUGCUGGUCUACAUGUACAUGUCUACCUUUUCAUCACGAAGAUGUAGACCAACAUGAAGAUGUAGACAAACAUGUUGGUCUACA